GGCAGCCUGGCAUAAUGGUUUGAGUCUUGUACUAUGACUUUGAAGACCAGGGUUCAAUUCUCAGCUUGGCCA